CUCAAAUGGGCCCUUUGGUCUGGUCUCCGUAAUGGGUUCGACCCAAAAUUUCCCGGGUCAAGUCGCAGAUGAAACCCUAAAACACAGAGGUUGAAUUCUGAAGAUCGAAAACACGAAUCUCGCAAAUUACACCUCGAUUUCGAAGGCUCCAAAAUGUUUGGACGCAGAAGAUUUCUAUCUUUCCCUUUGGUGAUCGGAGCAGUCGUGAUUGGAGUUGUUUCUGGGAAGGCAAUAUUUGGACCCCCACUUGAUGAAUACUGGAAAAAGAAGCUCCAGGAAGAGGCAGCAGCCAAGGAGACUGAUGCAAGCUCCAGCAAAACUAGCUAGUUGCCGCUCACACUCGACCAAUCAUGUUCCUACAGCAAGCUAAGCUCAUCGCACUGUCAUACAAUCACAAAUAGCAGGAGGAAAAAUGCCCUCUCCUUGCCUUCUUAAAUUCCGGCAUGAGCAAGGAGUGAAAAUGAAAGAAAAAAAGAAUACUUCAAUUUCGUUCUUUAAUCAUGAACGUGAUCUAAGAUAUGAAGUUUGUUUCCAGCUUUUUCUCA